CCGACACUGCAGCGCCUGCCGGCCUCGGGGCCCCGCCCUCUGCCUUCGCUCGCGCCGCUCUCCUUCAGUCUCCCCAGGGCCUGUUUCAUGGAUAGGGUCCCCUUGCCCGCGUGAAAGUCUCAUUCCUCCUCAGCUCAGAAACACUCCAAGGUCUCGGCGCCCCAUACUGGCCUUCCCUCAUCCGAAUACGCCUCGUGCCCCUGAUGUACUUUUCCAUUCCCACUCCCUACUCUGGCAGUCUAGCUUCUAAGCUGAGGAGUUUGGCCUUCGCUCCAGGUGCGGGGACUCGUGGAAGGAUUUGAUUCGCGCUUGAGAAAGAUCGCUCCGCUCCUGUAAGGAAGAGAGCGUGUAGGGGCUGCAACCAGAGACACAGUCAGAAGCUCCGAGGGUACCGCGAUGGUCCAGGGUGCCACAGGAUACAGCCUAACAGAGGCCCAGGUUGGAGCCAUGGACCAUGGAGUCACGAGAAUGGAAGGGAAGCUGACGCCAUGUGGGAUGGGGUAGAACUGUCCGCAAAUUCGUCCCGCCUCUGGAGUCUUCAGACCAGUCAAGGCCGAAAUUCAACCAAGCCUCUCCUCUCUCUAGCUGUUAUUUGUUUGGAGCACGCGGUCUGGUGGCACCCUGCAGGAUUUACCAGCUUUUUGCCAACAUUCUGGCCUAUGCAAUCAAUACGUCCCUUCAGCGUUGCACUUGGAUGGAUUGGACCUAUAGUUGUUAUAUAUGGAUAUUGUCUAAUUUAUUUAUUACAGUAUUAACUGACUCCUAUGUUCUGGCCUUCAGAAUUUCUCCUUUGGAUCAAUUACUAGCCUGUCUUACAUUUUCUGCUUCAUUCUUUUAAAAUGUUUAGAGAUGAUUUGCUAAGUUUUCUUCAUUGCUGUCAAUGAUGCAAUUUAAACUGUCAAAAAAUUUUUUUCUCAAGCAGGGUAGUAAUGGUGAAGACAGCAUGGUUUAGAUGAGGCGCACCUAUCCCCAGCUCUAGGAAUGGAAACAGGACCCAAGUCUGGCUAAUCAGAGACUGGUUUAGGGUCGGCCCCAUGGUCUGAGCCAGACCAAUGAGAAUUGGUAGAGGGACUUCCUUUUGCAACUUCUAUUUUAGAAUCGGGGGUAUAUAUGCAGGCUUGUUACAGAGGUAUAUUGCAUGGUGCUGAGGUUUGGAGUAUGAACAAAUCCGUCCUUCAGGUAAUGAGCAUAGUACCCAAUAGGUAGUUUCAACCCUUGCCCCCUUCCUCCUUCCCCAGUCUUGUAUUCCCCAGUGUCUGUUGUUCCCAGACAUUGAUCUUUUUCCUCUAUGUUGCUAAGCUGGUAGAAAGGCUGGAGUUGCUGGCAACCAUCUUUGCAACCAUGCAGGGAGAACUACUUUGGAAAUGAAGCAAGACAAAGAAGAAAACAGAUAAAAGGAGACAAAUGUUUGACUUUGUACAGCUGGAAACCAGCAAUGCUGGAAAUGAGCACUGAAGGCAGUUUAAUGGGUUUGUCACUUGUAACCAAGUGACCCAUGGCAAGCUCACAGAUUUGUAUUGGCAGAAUUCCUCCUUUUCUUUAUUUAAAAUGGUACUUUUGGCCAGGCAAGGUGGUUCACACCUGUAAUACAAAGACUUUGGGAGGCCGAGGCGCACUGAUCACCCAAGGUCAGAAGUUCGAGAACAGCCUGGCCAACAUUGGCGAAACCCCGUCUCUACUAAAAAUACAAACCAUUAGCUGGCUGCGGUGGCCUUUCUACCAGCUUUUUGUCUCCAAAAAAAAAAAAAAGGUACUUUUGCUUAUCUCUAACCUUCCUCUUCCCCAUAAUUUAACAAUUGCCCAUACUAUCUGUUACUCUGAGCUACUCUCUGCCCCAUUCUCCUCCUCUUAUCUUCAGUUCCUCCUAGGCUGUCAGAGCCAUCUGAAAUGAAAACAUUUAGGCCGGGCAUAGUGGUUCAUGCCUGUAAUCCCAGCACUUUGGGAGGCUGAGGCAGGCGGAUCAGCUGAGGUCAGGAGUUCGAGACCACCCUGGCCAACAUGGUGAAACCCCAUCUCUACUACAAAUACAAAAAUUAUCCAGACAUGGUGGCACAUGCCUCUACUCCCAGCUACUUGGGAGGCUGAGGCAGGAGAAUCGCUUGAACCUAGGAGGCAGGGGUUGCAGUGAGCCGAGAUUGAGCCACUGCACUCUAGCCUGGGCGACAGAGUGAGGCUUUGUCUAAAAAACAUAAAUAAAAUAAAAUGAAAUGAAAACAUUUGCUACUUGAAAUCCUUCAGACUCCCCAUCGCCUACCUACAGGCGAAACUCUCAAGUUCUUUUGUAUGAUUUAACCACUAUCUACCUGUCCAACUGAAAUCUACCCUUCAGUAAUAUUAUACUUGCACCUCCCUUCAUAAGCUAUGCUACAAGUUUGGUUAUGCAGUUGCCUACCUUUUAAGGUUCAAGCCUUGUCUUCUCCAAAGAGCCACCUCUGACUGCCUCACAGUAAGCUUAGGGCCCGCAACUUACCUGUAACUUUUGUUGCACUUAUGGCCUUUUACAACUAUCAAUUUAUGUAUGUGUCUGUUCUCACUGGUUUAUAAGCUCCCUGAGGACAGAGCCUUGCUUGAGUCAUCUGUCAGCAGCCCAAUAUGGGACAAAAAGUGCAUGCAUUGUGAUUACUGAACAGAACCGAUAGAGGCUCAGCAAUUUGCGCUCCAUAGGUCUAAGUUUGAACUUUUCUAGAAAAGGAUUUGCAGGACGAUCUGACGAAUCUUGGGCUUCCAAAUU
rnacentral:lncRNA from 1 species